rnacentral:rRNA from 1 species
GAUGAACGCUGGCGGCGUGCUUAACACAUGCAAGUCGAGCGAAGCGAUUUCAAGGAAGUUUUCGGACGGAAUUGAAAUUGACUGAGCGGCGGACGGGUGAGUAACGCGUGGGUAACCUGCCUCAUACAGGGGGAUAACAGUUGGAAACGACUGCUAAUACCGCAUAAGCACACAGUGCCGCAUGGUACGGUGUGAAAAACUCCGGUGGUAUGAGAUGGACCCGCGUCUGAUUAGGUAGUUGGUGAGGUAACGGCCCACCAAGCCGACGAUCAGUAGCCGACCUGAGAGGGUGACCGGCCACAUUGGGACUGAGACACGGCCCAAACUCCUACGGGAGGCAGCAGUGGGGAAUAUUGGACAAUGGGGGAAACCCUGAUCCAGCGACGCCGCGUGAGUGAAGAAGGUUUUCGGAUCGUAAGGCUCUGUCGUAAGGGAAGAACACGUACAGGAGUAACUGCCUGUACCUUGACGGUACCUUACCAGAAAGCCACGGCUAACUACGUGCCAGCAGCCGCGGUAAUACGUAGGUGGCAAGCGUUGUCCGGAAUUAUUGGGCGUAAAGCGCGCGCAGGCGGUCCUUUAAGUCUGAUGUGAAAGCCCACGGCUCAACCGUGGAGGGUCAUUGGAAACUGGAGGACUUGAGUACAGAAGAGGAAAGCGGAAUUCCACGUGUAGCGGUGAAAUGCGUAGAGAUGUGGAGGAACACCAGUGGCGAAGGCGGCUUUCUGGUCUGUAACUGACGCUGAGGCGCGAAAGCGUGGGGAGCAAACAGGAUUAGAUACCCUGGUAGUCCACGCCGUAAACGAUGAGUGCUAAGUGUUAGGGGGUUUCCGCCCCUUAGUGCUGCAGCUAACGCAUUAAGCACUCCGCCUGGGGAGUACGGCCGCAAGGCUG